UACAGAGGGUGCAAGCGUUAAUCGGAAUUACUGGGCGUAAAGCGCGCGUAGUCGGUUAUUUAAGUCGGGUGUGAAAGCCCCCGGCUCAACUGGGGAGGGUCACGCGAUACUGAUCGACUCGAAGGCAGGAGAGGGUAGUGGAAUUCCCGGUGUAGUGGUGAAAUGCGUAGAUAUCGGGAGGAACACCAGUGGCGAAGGCGACUACCUGGACCGACACUGACACUGAGGAGCGAAAGCCAGGGGAGCAAACGGG
rnacentral:rRNA from 1 species